rnacentral:rRNA from 1 species
CCUACGGGCGGCAGCAGUGAGGAAUAUUGGGCAAUGGCCGGAAGGCUGAACCAGCCAUGCCGCGUGAAGGUCAGUGCCCUAUGGGCGUUAAACUUCUUUUGUGCGGGAGCAAUAAUGGUCACGUGUGGCCAGACGAGAGUACCGUACGAAUAAGCAUCGGCUAACUCCGUGCCAGCAGCCGCGGUAAUACGGGGGAUGCAAGCGUUAUCCGGAUUUAUUGGGUUUGAAGGGUGCGUAGGCUGUGAGGUAAGUCAGCGGUGAAAUGCCCCCGCUCAACGGGGUGAAGUGCCAUUGAUACUGCCUGGCUGGAAUGCGGAUGCCGUGGGAGGAAUGUGUGGUGUAGCGGUGAAAUGCAUAGAUAUCACACAGAACACCGAUUGCGAAGGCAUCUCACGAAUCCGCGAUUGACGCUGAUGCACGAAAGCGUGGGUAUCAAACAGGAUUAGAUACCCGGGUAGUC